GGCCGCGUAUUUCAGUGGUAGAAGGUUCGCCUCCUAAAGUCUAUCACUUUUCAGACAGCGAAAGGUCCACGGUUCGAACCCGUGCUCGGUCG
rnacentral:tRNA from 1 species